ACCGGCUGACAUAGCCAGCUCCCUCCGAACUCCCCCAGGGCAGGAAUGCAGCAAGGGUAAGAGGUUGUAGCGGUAUGAUGUCAGCCAUUUUU
rnacentral:SRP_RNA from 1 species